rnacentral:rRNA from 1 species
AUUGAACGCUGGCGGCAGGCCUAACACAUGCAAGUCGAACGAGUGGCGGACGGGUGAGUAAUGUCUGGGAAACUUCCUGAUGGCGGGGGAUAACUACUGGAAACGGUAGCUCAUACCGCAUACCAGACUGUGUGCCCAGAUGGGCUGAGCUAGUGGUUGGGGUAACGGCUCACCAAGGCGCCGAUCCCUAGCUGGUCUGCGAGGAUGACCAGCCACACUGGAACUGAGACACGGUCCAGACUCCUACGGGAGGCAGCAGUGGGGAAUAUUGCACAAUGGGCGCAAGCCUGAUGCAGCCAUGCCGCGUGUAUGAAGAAGGCCUUCGGGUUGUAAAGUACUUUCAGCGGGGAGGCGUUACCCGCAGAAGAAGCACCGGCUAACUCCGUGCCAGCAGCCGCGGUAAUAC